AUUGAACGCUGGCGGCAGGCCUAACACAUGCAAGUCGAGCGGAUGAGAGGAGCUUGCUCCUUGAUUCAGCGGCGGACGGGUGAGUAAUGCCUAGGAAUCUGCCUGGUAGUGGGGGAUAACGUUCCGAAAGGAACGCUAAUACCGCAUACGUCCUACGGGAGAAAGCAGGGGACCUUCGGGCCUUGCGCUAUCAGAUGAGCCUAGGUCGGAUUAGCUAGUUGGUGGGGUAACGGCUCACCUAGGCGACGAUCCCUAGCUGGUCUGAGAGGAUGACCAGCCACACUGGAACUGAGACACGGUCCAGACUCCUACGGGAGGCAGCAGUGGGGAAUAUUGCACAAUGGGCGCAAGCCUGAUGCAGCCAUGCCGCGUGUGUGAAGAAGGCCUUCGGGUUGUAAAGCACUUUCAGCGGGGAGGAAGGCGAUAAGGUUAAUAACCUUGUCGAUUGACGUUACCCGCAGAAGAAGCACCGGCUAACUCCGUGCCAGCAGCCGCGGUAAUACGGAGGGUGCAAGCGUUAAUCGGAAUUACUGGGCGUAAAGCGCACGCAGGCGGUCUGUCAAGUCGGAUGUGAAAUCCCCGGGCUCAACCUGGGAACUGCAUUCGAAACUGGCAGGCUAGAGUCUUGUAGAGGGGGGUAGAAUUCCAGGUGUAGCGGUGAAAUGCGUAGAGAUCUGGAGGAAUACCGGUGGCGAAGGCGGCCCCCUGGACAAAGACUGACGCUCAGGUGCGAAAGCGUGGGGAGCAAACAGGAUUAGAUACCCUGGUAGUCCACGCUGUAAACGAUGUCGAUUUGGAGGUUGUGCCCUUGAGGCGUGGCUUCCGGAGCUAACGCGUUAAAUCGACCGCCUGGGGAGUACGGCCGCAAGGUUAAAACUCAAAUGAAUUGACGGGGGCCCGCACAAGCGGUGGAGCAUGUGGUUUAAUUCGAUGCAACGCGAAGAACCUUACCUGGUCUUGACAUCCACAGAACUUAGCAGAGAUGCUUUGGUGCCUUCGGGAACUGUGAGACAGGUGCUGCAUGGCUGUCGUCAGCUCGUGUUGUGAAAUGUUGGGUUAAGUCCCGCAACGAGCGCAACCCUUAUCCUUUGUUGCCAGCGGUUAGGCCGGGAACUCAAAGGAGACUGCCAGUGAUAAACUGGAGGAAGGUGGGGAUGACGUCAAGUCAUCAUGGCCCUUACGACCAGGGCUACACACGUGCUACAAUGGCAUAUACAAAGAGAAGCGACCUCGCGAGAGCAAGCGGACCUCAUAAAGUAUGUCGUAGUCCGGAUUGGAGUCUGCAACUCGACUCCAUGAAGUCGGGAUCGCUAGUAAUCGUAGAUCAGAAUGCUACGGUGAAUACGUUCCCGGGCCUUGUACACACCGCCCGUCACACCAUGGGAGUGGGUUGCAAAAGAAGUAGGUAGCUUAACCUUCGGGAGGGCGCUUACCACUUUGUGAUUCAUGACUGGGGUG
rnacentral:rRNA from 1 species